GCAGAAUGUCAGUUGAAGGUCAGUGUUGGUGCUAACAACAAGUUACAAAUCUCGUGAUGAAUCCUCUUCCUUCUGUUGUUACAUGACCCACCUGAGGACGCCUGUGACGCUCAGCCUGAUGUAGACCUUGUACACUGCCGGCUCUCUCGCUCUCUCUCUCUCCAGUUGAACUGAGUCGGCUGUCAGCGUGUAGUGAAGACUGGACGGUGAGGUCAAGUGGGUGUCAGCGUGUAGUGAAGACUGGACGGUGAGGUCAAGUGGGUGUCAGCGUGUAGUGAAGACUGGACGGUGAGGUCAAGUGGGUGUCAGCGUGUAGUGAAGACUGGACGGUGAGGUCAGGUGGCUGUCAGCGUGUAGUGAAGACUGGACGGUGAGGUCAGGUGGCUGUCAGCGUGUAGUGAAGACUGGACGGUGAGGUCAGGUGGCUGUCAGCGUGUAGUGAAGACUGGACGGUGAGGUCAAGUCCACGGUUGUGUGUGGCUGCUGCUGUGGUUUGUAAGACCAGGAAAAUGUCGUCAAUCUGAAGACACCGCUGGAAACAAUGUUGAUUUAUUGAGACGAGAUAAUGAGUUAGUCACACACUCAGAUGGUAUAUAUAAUGUGUGUGAGUACCGAAUGAGACGCUUGUACAUCACUUGGGUAUCUUGAGGGAACGUUUCGCCAGCCAGUGGCUUCCUCAGUCCAGUACAAAGAAGAAUGGUGGAAGAUGACAGGUAGGGGGGGGGGUUAACUAAUCAAUCCUUCAGCCUAGUGUGUGUUCAGUCCAUAUAUCUUGACAAGAGUAUUAAAGCAUAUGCGCGGAGAAGGAUUACUGUAGAGUGUAGACAGGUUAUUAUUCUAUGCGCUAAACCCAUAAGGGUCAUACAGCGCUGAUAAGUAGGUCAUGCCUAUAGGUUAGACAAGCUAUGAAAAAAUCCCUAUCAAGAUCCCAAUAUAUUGCUAGCUUAGAAAACCGACAAGUUGAUAAAUGAGAAACGUGUGUACCAUUUGGGUAUCUUUAUUCUGGAAAUGUUUCGCCAACCAGUAGCUUCCUCAGUCCAAUACCGAGAAGAAUGAUGUGAUAGUAGUAGUAGUUUGAGGUAAUCAGUCCCUCGGACUUUUUUAAACCCUCUGUAUAAUCUGUCAGACACAGCAACACCUUGGGAUCUUGGUAUAGGGAAUUCCUUAAGGGGCACGUAAGUUCUCCUGUCUUUUAAUAUGUUCAUUUUUCCACUAUAAUCUACCUUGUCCAUAAUUACUAUCGCAUUUCCCCUCAAGGAAGGUUCCUUGAUGUUGGUGAGGGGCUCUUGAUUUAGGGAAUUGGAUCUAUGCUCCAGUUCCCCGAAUUAAGCCUGAAUGCCUUCCACAUCCCCCCCAGGCGCUGUAUAAUCCUCCGGGUUUAGCGCUUCCCCCUUGAUUGUAAUAAUAAUAAUACUAUCGCAUUUCCUUUGUCUGUUUCGUAAGGUGAAGUCCAGGAUCUUUCCUUAAUUCAUGGUAUAACUUAACAAAUCUUUGAGGACAAUUAUCGUUGCAGAGGUCUGAGCAAAGUUCAGACCUCUGCACCUCAAUUGUCCUCAGAGUUAUUCUAUGAAUUAAGGAAAGAUCCUGGACUUCACCUUACGAAACAAAGGAAAUGCGAUAGUAAUUAUGGACAAGGUAGAUUAUAGUGGAAAAAUGAACAUGUUAUUAGAAGACAGAGGAUCUUAAGUGCCUCUUAAUGCUUGUCUAACCUUUAGACACGACAUACUUCUGCUGGUUAAGAUUGAUUGAUAGAACAUAUCGACUCCAGGCUGAGAUACUGAUUAACUCAAAUUCAUCUUCCACCUUUUUCUGCACUGAACUAAAAAAAAGCCACUGUGUGGCCAAAUGCUGCACAAGUGUCUCAUUUAUCAACUUGUCGGUUUUCUAAACCAUAUAGUUACACAAUGUUUUUAACAGAGGAGGAACCUUGACGGAACCCACAUCCUACGUCCUGUGUAGGAUGUGGGUGAGAGUUCUGUGCUGAAGGAAAUGUUUGGGUAAUUAAUACAACUUAUGAAAGUUAAGACACAUGUGCAACAUCUGGAUAUCUUUAUUGUAGACGUUUCGCCAUCCAGUGGCUUUAUCAAUACAGAUUUUAUGACAUAAUUAGAAGACAGUAGAACUAUAUACAAAAGAUGAGGUAAUCAGUCCCUCAGCC